UGGUUUUGGUAGACUAGAAAACUGAAAAAAUGGGGCUUAAUGUAGUUUCAAUAGAAUCUUGUAGUGAUUUUAAGGAACCUUUUGAUUGGAAGCGCUUCAUAGAAGUCUUGAAAGCUAAUGUUGAGAUAGUGGAGUUCCUCUCACAUUUAAGUGUAAAAAUGCUACAUGUUGCACAUGGCUAUGAUAUUCUAGUUUGGGGAUAUUUGGAUUAUAGUCCAUCUAUAGUAGGAGACCCAUCAAAUGGAUAAUUUAGAUGGGAACUGAGACCUGAUUAAACUAGGUGAUUUGUGAGACUUCUUUCUAUUUGGUGUAUAUGGAUUGUUUGAUCUGAUAACAAAGAGUGGCCCAUAUCUUAAAGGAAAAAUUUUCCACUGAAAACAUCUCACUAUUGUAUUUUGAGGUUAUUUUUUCACUGUAUCCAUAUUCUCCUGACAUUCUUCACUAUUGUAUUUAGAGAAGAUAAAUUUCUUAUAUGCUUCUCUUUAACUCUGAGAUUGAUGGUUACAGAGUAGUGUAGAAUGUGGUUUUCCCAUUUGACAGUUGUAGAUGCAGCCAUUACGAACUUUAUGUAAGCCUUUGUAUUGCUGCAUAUAUCUUCAUUAUUUAAUUUUCAUUGAUAUCCACGAGCAUGGUUUGGACAACAGUUUGUCUGUCAAAGCUUGAGUUUUGAGGUUGUGGUGGAAGGAAAUGUUAGGUUUCUUUUGGGAAAAAGUUCCAUUCAUUUUUUGGGAAAUGGUGGAAAAGGAAAUCAAUUUCCACACCUAUUUUUGCUUUUACAAUCACUGGAAAACAUCACAUCUAUGGAAAUUGAUUUCAUUUCCACUAUUUUCUAGAGUUCUCCACCAAUCCAAACUGUUGGAAGGAAUAGAAAAAGCAGCAUGGUAAAAGGGUGGUGAUGUCAAAAUGGCAGAUGCCACAACGUCAAAGACCGAAAAGAAGGUGGUAAUUUUCUUGAUUAUGUGGCUAUGAUACUUUUUUCAGCUCUAUAUUACAAAACUUGACGGCCAUGUACUAAAUUGAUAGAGCCUAAAACACUUGCAAUGCCUAGUGCCCAGACUUCUAGAUCAAAAACCCUAUUUGUUGGUAACCUAUCCUAUUGUGUCGAAAGACCUGAUGUGUAAAUAUCAUUUAAUACCAGAGAACUACUCUUGUGACAAGAUUUUAAUUUCUCAAUGUGUAUGGGAAAUAAGAUGGCUACAUCUGAUAAAAUGAGAUAAUUUGCUUCCUUUG